rnacentral:rRNA from 1 species
UACGAAGGGGGCUAGCGUUGCUCGGAAUUACUGGGCGUAAAGGGCGCGUAGGCGGAUAUUUAAGUUGGGGGUGAAAUCCCGGGGCUCAACCUCGGAAUUGCCUUCAAAACUGGAUAUCUUGAGUUCGGGAGAGGUGAGUGGAACUCCGAGUGUAGAGGUGAAAUUCGUAGAUAUUCGCAGGAACACCAGUGGCGAAGGCGGCUCACUGGUCCGGUACUGACGCUGAGGUGCGAAAGCGUGGGGAGCAAACAGG